UGGCUCAGUUGCUAGAGCAUGGUGUUUGCAAUGCCAGGGUUGUGGGUUUGAAUCCCAU
rnacentral:tRNA from 1 species